rnacentral:rRNA from 1 species
GACGAACGCUGGCGGCGUGCUUAACACAUGCCAGUCGAACGGAAAGGCCCUGCUCUUGUGGGGUGCUCGAGUGGCGAACGGGUGAGUAACACGUGAGUAACCUGCCCUUGACUUUGGGAUAACUUCAGGAAACUGGGGCUAAUACCGGAUAGGAGCUCCUGCUGCAUGGUGGGGGUUGGAAAGUUUCGGCGGUUGGGGAUGGACUCGCGGCUUAUCAGCUUGUUGGUGGGGUAGUGGCUUACCAAGGCUCUGACUGGUAGCCGGCCUGAGAGGGUGACCGGCCACAAUGGGACUAAGAUACGGCCCAGUCGGCAACGGGAGGCAGCAGUGGGGAAUAUUGCACAAUAGGCGGAAGCGUGAUGCAGCAGCGCCGCGUGCGGAAUGACGGCCUUCGGGUUGUAAACCGCUUUCGCCUGUGACGAAGCGUGAGUGACGGUAAUGGGUAAAGAAGCACCGGCUAACUACGUG